rnacentral:rRNA from 1 species
AGAGAGAGACAUGCGCGCAUAUCAAUAAGCGGAGGAAAAGAAACUAACUAGGAUUCCCUUAGUAACGGCGAGUGAAGCGGGAAGAGCUCAAAUUUGAAAUCUUCAAGGUUUUACCUUGACGAAUUGUAGUUUAAAGAAGUGUUUUCUAUUGGAGUUUUGGUAAAAGUUCUUUGGAAUAGGACAUCAUAGAGGGUGAGAAUCCCGUAUUUGACCAUUAUUUCCAACUUUGUGAUACACUUUCAAAGAGUCGGAUUGUUUGGGAAUGCAGUCCAAAAUGGGUGGUAAAUUUCAUCUAAAGCUAAAUACUGGCGAGAGACCGAUAGCGAACAAGUACCGUGAGGGAAAGAUGAAAAGAACUUUGAAAAGAGAGUUAAACAGUACGUGAAAUUGUCAAAAGGGAAGCGUUUGACACCAGUGUUGUUUUCUCGAAAAUCAAUUAAAAAUGAUUGGAUUUUGUGUUGUAUUGACUUUAUCAGCUUUCUGCACUUUUUUCUUGUCUUUUUUAAUGCACUUUUCGUUUAACAAGUCAACAUCAAUUUCUUUUGUUGUAAAAGGAGUCAUUGGAAGGUGGCUUUCAUCUUUCGGAUGAAAGUGUUUAUAGCCUUUGACUUCUGCAAUCGGAGAGAUUGAGGAUCUGCAGCGUAGAUCCUUCGGGGUUAGAUACAUUUGUGCUAAGUUAUAGCUUUUCAUAGACAACUUGUUGACUAUGAUUGAGUCAUUGUAGCUUACUCGCAUAUGCUAUUUUACCUACGCUUAGGAUGUUGACAGCAGUAUAGACUGU